rnacentral:tRNA from 1 species
GUUCCCAUCGUCUAGAGGCCUAGGACACCAGGUUUUCAUCCUGGUAACACGGGUUCGAAUCCCGUUGGGAAUGCCA